GCCCAGCCCUGGGCGGGGGACCCAGGUUCCUCAGCCCUCGCAGCAGCAGCCGUGCUCAUCCUUUCUGCACCCUUGCCAGCCCUGGGAAGAAGCAGGUGUGAGCAGAGUUGGGGUAUACAGGGCCUGCUGCGUAUAGGGGCCUGCGUGGGUCCUGGAGCCACAACCAGGAAUAACUGGGAGCCUCACUUCUGCUCUCGAGAGUCCUGAAGGAGUGGGAGACGGACACACAGGAGAGGAGCUGAUUAAAAACAGCGGUGGCGGUGAGAACAGCUGGUACCUGUGAGCCCGUGGAGGGCAGCCGAGCCCAGAGAUGGCGAGGGCCGUCCUCGUUCGCAUAAGUGAAGCAGACCAUCGAACCACUCGUGGGCAAGUGGCUUUGCUUCCCCGGGCCUCGGCUUCCCAUCUGUAGAGUGGGAUAAUAAUGGUGCCAUCUUAUGAUGCUUGCAUGGAUUCAUACAUGUGAGGAGUGCCUGACACAGGAAGUGCCAUCCAGCAGGGUGUGCAGUGAACAGGCUCUGAGGAAGCAGAGGGGAAGCUCUACUUUACAACCUCGUUGAUUUCCCUCAUAGAUGGAAAUCCACCACAGUGGAUUUCAAGCUACCAGUAAUUGAACAAUGGGCUUGCAAAACUCUUGAAUGUUUAAUCAUUUGUUCUCACAAGCUGGUCUGAGAUAACUUUGUACACCACUA